rnacentral:tRNA from 3 species
GGGGCUGUAGCUCAGUGGGAGAGCACCUGGUUUGCAACCAGGGGGUCGCGAGUUCAAUCCUCGCCAGCUCCACCA